UACGUAGGGGGCAAGCGUUGUCCGGAUUUAUUGGGCGUAAAGAGCGUGUAGGCGGCUCCACAAGUCCGCUGUGAAAACUCGAGGCUCAACCUCGAGCUGUCGGUGGAAACUGUGUGGCUAGAGUCCGGAAGAGGAGAGUGGAAUUCCCGGUGUAGCGGUGAAAUGCGCAGAUAUCGGGAAGAACACCGGUGGCGAAAGCGGCUCACUGGACCACAACUGACGCUGAGGCGCGAAAGCUAGGGGAGCAAACAGG
rnacentral:rRNA from 1 species